AUGAUUCUUGAAGUAUUGAAAUUGCACAUGAGUAAUAAUGAGACGGUGCACCUACGUUUGAACGAUGAGCUGAAUCGGCCAAAACACGUCGUCAGAUCGUAUAAACCACUCGUGGAGAGCACUUGUGACUCGCCGAUGGCCAAACAAGAUAAAUACGGCUCAAAAGACGUAAGUCACAAAUUCCAUCCAUCAAGGCGGUGCGAAGCAGAAGAAAGUGCAUUUUCCAACGACUGCAAUGAUAUCACACCGAUUGACUUUCAGUCCGACCGAAUCGACCGAUGUCAUCGGUUCUGAAGUGCAUGACAAACUUUGUAAAAGUGUAAAAUCUGAGUUACUUUGCAUGCCAGCGGGCUGAUUUUUGAAAUUGACAGACAAGAAAUAUACAAAGUGAAACUGGGGUGAUUCUAUUGGUGGAUGCGACUGAUUCCAAUUUACAGAGGACUCAAAGGAGAUAAGUAAUAGACUGGCUAAUGGCAACACACGAGAGACACUAUAGUAAUUCCAUCAUUUUCCUCCUAAGUCUGUAACAGCCAACCGUUUUAACCAAUAGGAUCAUUCUAUUUCCCCGUUCUCUUCUUUGUCUAUAUCUUAGUCUAUCAAUUUCAAUAAUGACCUGCCUUCUUUGUCUAUCGUUAUGUCUACCAAUUUCCAUAAUCACCCGCUGGUUCACCCUAGAGACACAGGCAACUGAGUACACCAUAGAUACAUCGAUAAAAUUGCACUAAAAUCACGCUGAGCACUUUAAAAUAGUCUAAAAUUUAAUUUUGUAACGCAAUAUUUGCGCAGUCUUGAAGACAGAUUAUAAUAUUUCCCAAAUUCUAAGCAAGGGAAGCAAGAACGCUUUCAAUUUUUUGCAUAUCAAUGGUCAAAGUGCAGAAGUGCGUAACUCGCGGAAAACACGAUUUUCCUCCUUAAUGACUUUUGAAAUGUGCUCAUCGUCAUAUUUUCCAGUGUUUUACCUGAUAGAGACUUUUCGAUUGGCUGCGCCUCUUUUGUGCGAGGCCAAUUUAUCCAAUACUAGCUGCUUCAACUUGCUUCGCUCGCCUCAGCACCUAGCCAGGGGCUCAGCCUUCUGGACCCCGAUGAUUCCCUCCGCGCGUACGGGGAAAACUUUCAAGGGCGGACAUGGAAAGUUUUGAAUUAUUGGUAUCAUCUGGACAUCAACAGCUUUCGUUUGCAACAAAAUUCAAGGAAAUCGGCCCGGCGGCUCCUCGGAAUAAUCAAGGAUCACAAGGUUUCGACCCUUAUAGUUUUAUUUAUAUUGAUAACGGUAAAAGCACCUUGUUGCAACUAUAAGUGCUCCGUGGAUAUUGAUAUUACAUAGACGUAAAAUUGAAGGCGUUCUCACUUCCCUUGCUUCAAAAUAUCACAAACGUGUACGUUUAAGAGUCGACAAUGGAUACUUGGCUGUAUCUCUUGCGUACACAGCAGACCCAGUUAGCUUAAUAUUAGUCAGAAAACUUGAUUUUGAAAAUUUGGCCGUUACUUCUCGUCCCAGUGACACUUCAGUGUACAGCUGAGAUUAUGAGGAGCUGCAAUUUCUAAAAAAACCAUUUUCUCUUUCCUUACUUUAGAUGAACAAUAAACUAUUCCACUCGGUGCGGGCAGUUGGUGGAGAUUUGGACUGCACGUCGAUAGAACGUGAGAGAGAAGCCGGAUUGGGUGGCUGGGUUUCUACCUUGAGGAACUCCUCAAACAGAAAA
rnacentral:lncRNA from 1 species